rnacentral:rRNA from 1 species
UACGUAGGGGGCUAGCGUUGUCCGGAAUCAUUGGGCGUAAAGCGCGCGUAGGCGGCCCGGUAAGUCCGCUGUAAAAGUCCAGGCUCAACCCUGGAACGCCGGUGGAUACUGUCGGGCUAGAGUCCGGGAAGAGGCGAGUGGAAUUCCUGGUGUAGCGGUGGAAUGCGCAGAUAUCAGGAGGAACACCGAUGGCGAAGGCAGCUCGCUGGGACGGUACUGACGCUGAGGCGCGAAAGCGUGGGGAGCAAACAGG